rnacentral:rRNA from 1 species
CGUUGCUCGGAAUCACUGGGCGUAAAGCGCACGUAGGCGGCUUUUUAAGUCAGGGGUGAAAUCCUGGAGCUCAACUCCAGAACUGCCUUUGAUACUGAGAAGCUUGAGUCCGGGAGAGGUGAGUGGAACUGCGAGUGUAGAGGUGAAAUUCGUAGAUAUUCGCAAGAACACCAGUGGCGAAGGCGGCUCACUGGCCCGGUACUGACGCUGAGGUGCGAAAGCGUGGGGAGCAAACAGG